rnacentral:lncRNA from 1 species
AAACAGUCGCCAGUUCUUGUAGUGAUUAUGGUGGAGGAUAUCGACUCCUUACUUGUUUUUCUAAAAUGCACCAUAAAUGUUCGAUAAUAUUGAGAUCUGGGAACUGUGGUGGCCUGAUAAGAUGUUCAACUUCACUAGAAUGUUUCCUUCUCGAGCCUACAAGAGUAAACAAGAGAGACAGAGACAGGCGGAAACAAGGAAAACCAGCCUUGUAUUUGAAUACUAUGCAAAUAUUCUUUUAAAAACUUUUCUUUUAAUUUUUCCAAAAUUAAUUGUUUUCCAUACUUACAAUUGAAAAAGUCUCAGUGACUGAAACCGGUACUGAAAUUUUUUUUUAUAAAAUUAUUUUACCAUUUUCUACCUUGACUUUUUUUCCAUAUAUAUCAACUCGUGUGUUCCUUUUCAACCUUAUAUAUAUAUAUGUGUGUUAGUGUGUGUGAGAGUGUGUGUGUGUGUGUAUGUGUGUAUGUGUGUGUAAGUAUAUGUAUAACGUAACCGACCAGACUCUCAGAUGCUGUUGCAUAUCGCUAGUUUCAAUGCGCUUUGCAUCGUUUUAACCAUCAAAUGACGCCACCCCACUGGCGAGGCGAGUAGGCCAACACUCCACCUUGAUCGAAAAAGGACUUGCGCAACAGGAAAGGACGUGUUUUGUUCAAGAACACAACGUGCCGCCCGGUCUGGGAAUCGAACCUCCACGAUCUAGCGAUCGUGAUUGCAACAAUCUGACUACUAGGUCAUGCGCCUUCACAUACAUACAUUCAUGCAUACAUACAUACAUACAUACAUACAUACAUACAUACAUACAUACAUACAUACAUACAUACAUACAUACAUACAUACAUACAUACAUACAUACAUGCAUGCAUGCAUACAUACUUACAUACAUACAUACAUACAUACAUACAUACAUACAUACAUACACACACAUAUUUAUCCUUGUUUUAGUGUCUAUGACUGUGUGUGCGCAUGCGAAAUUAAUUAAUUUCAAUAUCCAAAUUAUUCAAAUGGAACCUAUACAAACAAAUAUCAUUUAUAUGUUGAAAUAUGUAGAUUACAUGGUGUAUCAAGAUAUUUCUUUUGUUGAGUAUGUAACGAACUUAGUGUGAGCGUGAAUAUCUUGUCUUGUACUUUCGGGGUACAAGAAAGCAAUCACUCACUAGCCGUUGCUUUAAUAAUCCAGAAUUCUACCAGUCAGAAACAACAAGACGCAGACGUAAAAUAUAUAUAUAUACUACUUUAUUCUCUUUCUUGGUAACAAUAACAAUAAGUGUGUUAUCUGAUGUCCUUGGUUCGGGGCGCGCAAGGCUGAAAGUUAAUCGAUUGUAAUAUUUACAAUAUUCAGCCGCCAAAAACAGAACGGGUCCAAAAUGGCGUCGAACAAUGGAGACGAUGUUGGUCUGCAACAAUUUUGGUUAAAGGCCUUUUGGUAAGGACUGCUAGAAGCAAGUCCUGACGGAGAGAGAAUAUAAGUGACCGCUGCCUUCGAUAGCCAUGUCCCAAGUCCCCGCUUGCUGCUGCUAGUGGUCAAACGUUCUACGAUCCCCCUGCCUUGGCCAGGGUCGUGCUUCCGGUGGUUCGCGCAUGCGCGAGAGGGCCCUUCCUUUCUCUGCCUUGGUAAAGGCACCAACACGCGCGAAAUACAAAUGGACGGUGCGCGAGCGCGCACCGUUAUAGGGUCACUACAAGUAUUUUAAUCAACAGCGGACGGUACCAAUUUUAAUUGUUAUGAAUCAUAGCAUUCCAUAUUGACAAGCUGGUUGAUCUUUAAAUCCAAAUGUUUUGCUUCGUAAUUUAAACUUUACUGAUUUCUAAAGCCUUCAUAUCUAGUGUUGUCACUGUGUUUGCCAAAGAUUACUUUCACUGACCAUCGUAGCCCUGAAUCAAUUUUGUAUGUAAUUUGCAUUUCAGUAUUGUCUCCCUUGUAUUUCUUGAUCUGAAUUAUCCUUAUCUUUUUAUUGCAGCUGUACUCAUUACACUUUUAAAAAUCGUUUUUAGAUCGUUACUUUACUUAUAUUAGACCACAUGCAAAUGCAAAAUCUCAUCAAUACUGCUGUAUAUACGGUGAAGUUUACAGUUUUCUAACAAGGUCUAAUGAAACCGAAACAAGCUUGGAGUUGUCUCUUGUAGUUGUGAAAAGCCUCAAAAUAAUAUUUAUCGAUUACUAAUAUAUUUUUUUUCAGAGCAUAAUUCUCUUUUGUAAGGUUUUUGAAACUCACUAAGUUAACGGCAACACUAUCUGCAUAUUUCUUUUAUUCUUCAACUGGGUACCAACUUCUAAGGCAGCAAUUCUCAAACUGAUGAAUACUAGUCCCUCCUCCUUCCACCUCUGAAAAAUAAGUGAAAUUUGGUAACCCUUCUCCAUUUUUUGUUAACGUGUUUUCAUCUAUAUAAUUCUUAUCUUUUUCCAAAAGGAGCUGGAUACGUUUAAAAACAUCUUAAUUUUAUUAAACAUGCCAAUUUGUUUGCUCUCUUUUCACUUUUCAUAGCCCCAUCCUUUUAU